rnacentral:misc_RNA from 1 species
UCCAGGACAACAUGAAAAAUAUCAGAUGGGCAAUAAAAACAGGUAAAAACUGUAAUCAUGUCUUAAAGCUGAAAACAAGUCGUAGCCUUGCUGGGACAGCAGGCAUACGUGGCAAUGGCAAGUCGUAAUCAGCUGUUUAAUCGUAAAAGAAAAUCCAGAUCUUUCACAACCCAUACUUUGCGAAUUUACAUAAUUUCAGCAGUUGUACAGUCAAGGCAAUGACUGUGCAAGUAUACAAAGACAUUCGAUACCGAUCCAAGAAACAGGA